GACGAACGCUGGCGGCGUGCUUAACACAUGCAAGUCGAACGGAAAGGCCCUGCUUUUGUUGGGUGCUCGAGUGGCGAACGGGUGAGUAACACGUGAGUAACCUGCCCUUGACUUUGGGAUAACUUCAGGAAACUGGGGCUAAUACCUGAUAGGAGCUCCUGCUGCAUGGUGGGGGUUGGAAAGUUUCGGCGGUUGGGGGUGGACUCUCGGCUUAUCAGCUUGUUUGUGGGGUAGUGGCUUACCAAGGCUUUGACGGGUAGCCGGCCUGAGAGGGUGACCGGACACAUUGGGACUGAGAUACGGCCAAGACUGCUACGGGAGGCAGCAGUGGGGAAUAUUGCAAAAUGGGCGGAAGUCUGAUGCAGAAACGCCGCGUGCGGGAUAACGGCCUUCGGAUUGUAAACCGAUUUAGCCUGGGAAGAAGCGUGAGUAACGGUAAUGGGUACAGCAGCACCGGCUAACUAAGUG
rnacentral:rRNA from 1 species